rnacentral:rRNA from 1 species
UUUCUGACCUAUCAGCUUUCGACGGUAUGGUAUUGGCUUACCGUGGCAGUGACGGUUAACGGGGGAUUAGGGUUCGAUUCCGGAGAGGGAGCCUGAGAAACGGCUACCACAUCUAAGGAAGGCAGCAGGCGCGCAAAUUACCCAAUUCUAACAGUUUGAGAGAGGUAGUAACAAGAAAUAACAAUACAAGGCAAUUAAAAUGCUUUGUAAUUGGAAUGAUAGAAAUUUAAACCCUUUUUAAAGUAUCAAUUGGAGGGCAAGUCUGGUGCCAGCAGCCGCGGUAAUUCCAGCUCCAAUAGCGUAUAUUAAAAUUGUUGCAGUUAAAAAGCUCGUAGUUGAAGUUCUGCUAAAAGUAACCGGUCUGCUUUUAAUAAAAGUGGUAUCUUGGUGUGUAUUUAGCAAUGAUGUCCUUUGAAGUGUUUUUUACUUUAUUGUAAUAAAGCAUAUUCAGGACUUUUACUUUGAGAAAAUUAGAGUGUUUCUAGCAGGCUNACGCUUUGAAUACUGCAGCAU